rnacentral:tRNA from 1 species
UUUACCCUGGCGGAAUUGGUAGACGCGCUAGCUUGAGGUGCUAGUUGGGUAACACCAGUGAUGGUUCGAGUCCAUUCGGCCGCACCA